rnacentral:rRNA from 2 species
GGGUUGUGAGGUUAAGCGACUAAGCGUACACGGUGGAUGCCCUGGCAGUCAGAGGCGAUGAAGGACGUGCUAAUCUGCGAUAAGCGUCGGUAAGGUGAUAUGAACCGUUAUAACCGGCGAUUUCCGAAUGGGGAAACCCAGUGUGAUUCGUCACACUAUCAUUAACUGAAUCCAUAGGUUAAUGAGGCGAACCGGGGGAACUGAAACAUCUAAGUACCCCGAGGAAAAGAAAUCAACCGAGAUUCCCCCAGUAGCGGCGAGCG